rnacentral:rRNA from 1 species
UAGAGUUUGAUCCUGGCUCAGAUUGAACGCUGGCGGCAGGCCUAACACAUGCAAGUCGAGCGGUAGAGAGAAGCUUGCUUCUCUUGAGAGCGGCGGACGGGUGAGUAAUGCCUAGGAAUCUGCCUGGUAGUGGGGGAUAACGUUCGGAAACGGACGCUAAUACCGCAUACGACCUACGGGAGAAAGCAGGGGACCUUCGGGCCUUGCGCUAUCAGAUGAGCCUAGGUCGGAUUAGCUAGUUGGUGGGGUAAUGGCUCACCAAGGCGACGAUCCGUAACUGGUCUGAGAGGAUGAUCAGUCACACUGGAACUGAGACACGGUCCAGACUCCUACGGGAGGCAGCAGUGGGGAAUAUUGGACAAUGGGCGAAAGCCUGAUCCAGCCAUGCCGCGUGUGUGAAGAAGGUCUUCGGAUUGUAAAGCACUUUAAGUUGGGAGGAAGGGUUGUAGAUUAAUACUCUGCAAUUUUGACGUUACCGACAGAAUAAGCACCGGCUAACUCUGUGCCAGCAGCCGCGGUAAUACAGAGGGUGCAAGCGUUAAUCGGAAUUACUGGGCGUAAAGCGCGCGUAGGUGGUUUGUUAAGUUGGAUGUGAAAUCCCCGGGCUCAACCUGGGAACUGCAUUCAAAACUGACUGACUAGAGUAUGGUAGAGGGUGGUGGAACUUCCUGUGUAGCGGUGAAAUGCGUAGAUAUAGGAAGGAACACCAGUGGCGAAGGCGACCACCUGGACUAAUACUGACACUGAGGUGCGAAAGCGUGGGGAGCAAACAGGAUUAGAUACCCUGGUAGUCCACGCCGUAAACGAUGUCAACUAGCCGUUGGGAGCCUUGAGCUCUUAGUGGCGCAGCUAACGCAUUAAGUUGACCGCCUGGGGGAGUACGGCCGCAGGUAAAAACUCAAAUGAAUUGACGG